AGGGCGUGGCAACCCACUCCAGUAUUCUUGCCUGGAAAAUUCCACGGACAGAGGAGCCCAGUGGGCUACAGUCCAUGGGGUCAUACAGAGUGAGAAACGACUGAAGCGACUUAGCAUGCACUAUAUAAUGGGUCGUACCCUAACUGUUCCAUCAAUGUGCGUUGCCUGACUGGAUUUCAGACUCUGAGGUCAGGAGCACUGUCAUCUGUCCUCGGAAUCCAGCACCAUCAUAGGCACAGGGCCUCCCUUGCUUGAGUUUCUCCACUCAGUCAUCAGGGUCUAUCUAAAUCUUCAUUAUUAGGUGAUAAAGUUGAGUGAAAGCAGGACCUAUAUUAGCUCAUUUGUAACUGUUUUCUGGUUUGCUGGUUUGGGCCCCUAAGUUUAUAACUGUCAGAAAUCUGAGUUACCUGCACUCCUCUAUGGGCUUUAAACAGGUGAAAGCCAAAACCUGCGGCUGCAAGUCUGCCAUGUCCAGCACACGAUUUGCAGGUCCCAGUGGAUUUUCAGAGGCAGAGGCACCAGCUGGAGUUUGGCCCUAUUUCUGGAUCCCCAAAGUGGGAAGAUAAGGGCACCAAAAGACAGGCUUCCCAGAAUCAACCAGAGCCUCUCUGUUUGGGCUCCCCUCCAAUUCCUUGGAGCCUGCACUCCACAGCUGGAGCUCAUUACCGUAUCCCUCACCAGUUAGCAGCUCAAAAGCCUUGUUCUGUCACACUGCAGAGGGUCUGCAUUUUGGCAGCGAAAGAAGCCAGGCCAAGCACAGUGCCACUGGGCCCUGUCGGAGGAACCUUUGAAAACAAUUUUUCAAAUCAUUAAGGAAAUGAACAUGAAAAACAAACUGCGAGAGAGGAGCAAAUCCGCCUGCUAGCCAGGUUACUUAACACGCACGGUGCUUAAAUGGGACAUUUAGAUCACACCAGAAAGGAGCCCUUUAGGCACGCAGCUCUCCCGUUCACCCAGGGCAAAGAUGAACUAUGAGACUGUGGAAGAUUCACACACUUCAACAUCUUUGUGAGACGACGAUGUGUCUCUCAGAGGUACCAUAAGCAUUUUGUGAUGAUGAGGUUGCUAUGGUGGCUGCUUUUGUGUUGAAUAACAAACUACUAUAUAAACUUGGGGAAAUCUGCAUAAAUUAUGUCUGGCCUAUGGAUCUCUGGCUCUCUAACUCAACACACCCUAGUCCAUAAUUGAAGAAAGAUGCUUGGACACAGAGAGAUGGGGUAUGGACACAUGUUCUGCCAGUAAAGAGGCUUCUCAGGUAGUUUCAUCAAGAAGGCUAUUUAUUUCCCUCUGGGUAACCAGCUGUUGAUUGCCAGCGCACCUUUUCUGGAAAAAUUUUGUAAGCCUUUUAGGACAAAUGCUAUGAUGAGGAGCACUUAGUAUUUUUCAGAUAAUACAAAGCACAGCUUAGUAAGCAUGUUUCCAUUUCGAUGCACAGAAAUAUAAUACUCCUCUUUUACUCACAUUCAGUCUAUAUCUGUGACAAAAUGAUGUUUUAAUAUAAAAUAAAACCCCUGAAACUUACCACUA